AGAAAUUGACGGGGGCCCGCACAAGCGGCGGAGCAUGCGGAUUAAUUCGAUGCAACGCGAAGAACCUUACCAAGGCUUGACAUACACCGGAAAAGUGCAGAGAUGUGCUCCCCGUAAGGUCGGUGUACAGGUGGUGCAUGGUUGUCGUCAGCUCGUGUCGUGAGAUGUUGGGUUAAGUCCCGCAACGAGCGCAACCCUCGUCCCAUGUUGCCAGCGGGUUAUGCCGGGGACUCAUGGGAGACUGCCGGGGUCAACUCGGAGGAAGGUGGGGAUGACGUCAAAUCAUCAUGCCCCUUAUGUCUUGGGCUUCACGCAUGCUACAAUGGCCGGUACAAAGGGCUGCGAUACCGCGAGGUGGAGCGAAUCCCAAAAAGCCGGUCUCAGUUCGGAUUGGGGUCUGCAACUCGACCCCAUGAAGUCGGAGUCGCUAGUAAUCGCAGAUCAGCAACGCUGCGGUGAAUACGUUCCCGGGCCUUGUACACACCGCCCGUCAAGUCACGAAAGUCGGUAACACCCGAAGCCAGUGGCCCAACUCGCAAGAGAGGGAGCUGUCGAAGGUGGGACUGGCGAUUGGGACUAAGUCGUAACAAGGUAGCCGUA
rnacentral:rRNA from 1 species